AGGCAGCUCAGCACUUGAGAAAAGGAGACAGACUAUUGAAUACCUCGGAUUCUCUUUCUCUCCCCCACCUCGCAUUGAAAAUAAAGUCACUGAGUUGGGAAAUGAAAAGUCAGCAAGAUGAGGACACACCAUAAUGUUUCCAUUGGAUGGCAGUUGGCAGCAGCAUUCACCAUAUGUUUAAUCACAUCUUAUAAAGACACUCGUGAAAGAAGACUUCCAGAACUGCUUCAGAAAGUGGCAAGAAUGAUGGGUUUUAAAAUGCUGGUGGGUUGGCUGCAGAUGUCAAGAUGCCAGCUAGACCUUCCCAGGGACCAGUGGCCACUGCACCCUACAUUACGAACACUGUCCAGGCAAGAGAGAAGGUUUGUACAUGCUCCUCUUGAGGAGUGUUUCUUCUUAUUGGAGCAGGGUUGGUAGUGUUGGGGGUAGGGGAAAUAAUAAAACUAAACAUUUAACAUUUUUAUG
rnacentral:lncRNA from 1 species